UUUCUUGCUUAUACUUGUGGACUUGUAAGAGGAGCCUUGUCAAAUCUGGGGAUCUGCAGUACAGUAACAGCAGAAGUCACAGCAGUGCCAUCUUGUAAAUUUCAAGUUGUUAUCCAAAGACCCUAGAAGAAAGUUCUGCCAAGCAAUGGAGUUGUAGCAUGUUGUAUGGACAUUUUAAUGACUGGAAGGACAUUAAAAAAACAUGAAGCAUUGUUGACUAAAGGAGUAUCUGCUUUAUUUUGCUUUGGGAGACGACAGCUUUUGGCUUUCUUUUUACUUCAGAAGAUAAGUGCAUUAUUGAAAGAGUACUACUGCAUUUAAAGAGUCUCAGGCACAGCUGAGAUUCUGUUUUGACCUUAAUAAUAUGAUUAGCAAUAAUAUUAUGAUAAUUGCAUAGUUAUUUAAAGAAUAUUUUUGUAUGUGUACAUAUUGUUUUUGUAGAGUUAAUAUCUGGUGCUUGUUUUCUAUGUACUUUUGAUGCUUAUGUUGUGUCUUUUGUGCAUACUUCUUAAAAUGUCACUGAUUUUGACUCAAAAUUUUUGUUUUCUCUCUCACUUUCUCUAAAUUUGUGGUUCUUUACCAAAAUGUGGUGGAUUGCAGUCAACAAAUAAUGAUGCUUAUUAAAGCUACAGACUUCAUUUACCUCAGAAAGUA